CGCCCCGUCUGAGAAGUGAGGAGCCCCUCCGCCCGGCAGCAGCCCCAUCUGGGAAAUCCAGGAGAUAAUCAAUCAACUAAGAGCCAGGCACCUUUUUAAGUCCAGUAAGAAGAAACAUUUUUACAACCUGCUGUCUCUGAAGUCUGCUAUCUGAGAUUCCUCUCCACAAUAAAACUUGGUCUCCACAAUCCUUUAUCUUAACCUGAACAUUUUCUUUCUAUUGAUCCGAGGUCUUCAGAUAUACUCAACCAACUGUCAACCGGAAAAUGUGUAAAUUUGCCUAUAGCCCGGAAGCCGCCACUUUGAGUUGUUCUGCCUUUCGGACAAAUCCAUGUAUUUCUUAAAUGUAUUUCAUUGAUGUCUCAUGUCUCCCUAAAAUAUAUAAAACCAAGCUGUAACCCGACCACCUUGGCCUGAUCACAGGACCUCCCGAGGGCUGUGUCACAGGCCAUGGUCACUCAUAUUUGGCUCAGAAUAAAUCUCUUAAAAUAUUUUACAGAGUUUGACUCUUCGUCAACAGAGCCAAAAGAGG
rnacentral:lncRNA from 10 species